AUUGAACGCUGGCGGCAGGCCUAACACAUGCAAGUCGAGCGGAUGAAGGGAGCUUGCUCCUGGUUUCAGCGGCGGACGGGUGAGUAAUGCCUAGGAAUCUGCCUGGUAGUGGGGGAUAACGUCCGGAAACGGGCGCUAAUACCGCAUACGUCCUGAGGGAGAAAGUGGGGGAUCUUCGGACCUCACGCUAUCAGAUGAGCCUAGGUCGGAUUAGCUAGUUGGUGGGGUAAAGGCCUACCAAGGCGACGAUCCGUAACUGGUCUGAGAGGAUGAUCAGUCACACUGGAACUGAGACACGGUCCAGACUCCUACGGGAGGCAGCAGUGGGGAAUAUUGGACAAUGGGCGAAAGCCUGAUCCAGCCAUGCCGCGUGUGUGAAGAAGGUCUUCGGAUUGUAAAGCACUUUAAGUUGGGAGGAAGGGCAGUAAGUUAAUACCUUGCUGUUUUGACGUUACCAACAGAAUAAGCACCGGCUAACUUCGUG
rnacentral:rRNA from 1 species